rnacentral:rRNA from 1 species
CAUGUCCUACGGGGGGCAGCAGUAGGGAAUAUUGCUCAAUGGGGGAAACCCUGAAGCAGCAACGCCGCGUGAAGGAAGAAGGCUUUCGGGUUGUAAACUUCUUUUCUCAGGGACGAAGCAAGUGACGGUACCUGAGGAAUAAGCACCGGCUAACUCCGUGCCAGCAGCCGCGGUAAUACGGAGGGUGCAAGCGUUACUCGGAAUCACUGGGCGUAAAGAGCGCGUAGGCGGGAUAGCAAGUCAGAUGUGAAAUCCUAUGGCUUAACCAUAGAACUGCAUUUGAAACUGUUAUUCUAGGGUAUGGG